rnacentral:rRNA from 1 species
GAUCCGUAGCCGGCCUGAGAGGGCGGUCGGCCACACUGACACUGACAUACGGGUCAGACUCCUACGGGAGGCAGCAGUCGGGAAUUUUGGGCAAUGGGCGAAAGCCUGACCCAGCAACGCCGCGUGAAGGAUGAAAUCCCUCGGGAUGUAAACUUCGCAAGAACAGGAAGAAUAAGUGGGGGACAAUACCCCCCAUGAUGACGGUACUGUUUGUAAGCUCCGGCUAACUCCGUGCCAGCAGCCGCGGUAAUACGGGGGGAGCAAGCGUUGUUCGGAUUUACUGGGCGUAAAGGGCGCGUAGGCGGUCGUGACAAGUCACUUGUGAAAUCUCCGGGCUUAACUCGGAAAGGUCAAGUGAUACUGUCGGACUAGAGUGCAGAAGGGGCAACUGGAAUUCUCGGUGUAGCGGUGAAAUGCGUAGAUAUCGAGAGGAACACCUGCGGCGAAGGCGGGUUGCUGGGCUGACACUGACGCUGAGGCGCGAAAGCCAGGGGAGCGAACGGGAUUAGAUACCCCGGUAGUCCUGGCCUUAAACGAUGAAUGCUUGGUGUCUCGGGUUACAUAGUCCCGGGGUGCCGUCGCUAACGCUUUUAGC